rnacentral:tRNA from 1 species
GUGCUCGUAGCUCAAUUGGCAGAGUGCCAGGUUGUGGCCCUGGCGGUUACGGGUUCGAGUCCCGUCGAGCACC